rnacentral:tRNA from 1 species
AAGCUUGAAGUAACAAUUUACAUUUAGUUUCGACCUAAAAAUCGACUACUUAGUCCUAGCUUA